rnacentral:rRNA from 1 species
AGCAGCCGCGGUAAUUCCAGCUCCAAUAGCGUAUAUUAAAGUUGUUGCAGUUAAAAAGCUCGUAGUUGAAUUUCGGGAUCAAUACGUCGGUCGUGCUUCGGUACGUACUGGUGUCAUUGAUUUCUCCCUUCUGACGAACCAUGAUGUCAUUAACUUGGUGUCAUGGGAAAUCAGGACUGUUACUUUGAAAAAAUUAGAGUGUUUAAAGCAGGCUCACGCUUGAAUACAUUAGCAUGGAAUAAUGAAAUAGGACGUUCGAUCCUAUUUUGUUGGUUUCUAGGAUCAACGUAAUGAUUAAUAGGGAUAGUUGGGGGCAUUAGUAUUCAAUUGUCAGAGGUGAAAUUCUUGGAUUUAUUGAAGACCAACUACUGCGAAAGCAUUUGCCAAGGAUGUUUUCAUUAAUCAAGAACGAAAGUUAGGGGAUCGAAGACGAUCAGAUACCGUCGUAGUCUUAACCAUAAACUAUGCCGACUAGGGAUCGGAUGAUGUUAAUUAUUUAAUGACUCAUUCGGCGCCUUACG